UACGGAGGGAGCUAGCGUUGUUCGGAUAUACUGGGCGUAAAGCGCACGUAGGCGGCGCCGUAAGUCAGGGGUGAAAUCCCGGAGCUCAACUCCGGAACUGCCCUUGAAACUGCAGUGCUAGAAUUCUGGAGAGGCGAGUGGAAUUCCGAGUGUAGAGGUGAAAUUCGUAGAUAUUCGGAAGAACACCAGUGGCGAAGGCGGCUCUCUGGACCGAGACUGACGCUGAGGCGCGAAAGCGUGGGGAGCAAACAGG
rnacentral:rRNA from 1 species